rnacentral:rRNA from 1 species
CGGUCCAGACUCCUACGGGAGGCAGCAGUAGGGAAUCUUCCGCAAUGGGCGAAAGCCUGACGGAGCAACGCCGCGUGAGUGAUGAAGGGUUUCGGCUCGUAAAACUCUGUUAUUAGGGAAGAACAAAUGUGUAAGUAAUCGUGCACAUCUUGACGGUACCUAAUCAGAAAGCCACGGCUAACUACGCCACGGCCGCGGUAA